GCACUGCUGAGGAGAGCCAUAAUAGGACGAAACGGCCGUCCAGUGC
rnacentral:hammerhead_ribozyme from 1 species